rnacentral:rRNA from 1 species
GUGGGGAAUAUUGGACAAUGGGCGAAAGCCUGAUCCAGCCAUGCCGCGUGUGUGAAGAAGGUCUUCGGAUUGUAAAGCACUUUAAGUUGGGAGGAAGGGCAGUAAGUUAAUACCUUGCUGUUUUGACGUUACCGACAGAAUAAGCACCGGCUAACUUCGUGCCAGCAGCCGCGGUAAUACGAAGGGUUCAAGCGUUAAUCGGAAUUACUGGGCGUAAAGCGCGCGUAGGUGGUUUUGUAAGUUGGAGGUGAAAUCCCCGGGCUCAACCUGGGAACUGCCUCCAAAACUGCAUGACUAGAGUACGGUAGAGGGUAGUGGAAUUUCCUGUGUAGCGGUGAAAUGCGUAGAUAUAGGAAGGAACACCAGUGGCGAAGGCGACUACCUGGACUGAUACUGACACUGAGGUGCGAAAGCGUGGGGAGCAAACAGGAUUAGAAACCCGGGUAGUCC